GGGAGGCUGUGCGUGACUGACUGAAUCGAACACCAAUUAAAAUGCAGGACAGAGCACUGUGACGCCCCGGUGGGGCGGAGUUUGUGUCAUUGACCGCAUCUUUUCCAUGACGCGUUUUGGAGGUCCCCAAAAGCAAGGACAUGAACUGUUCAUACUUUCAGUCUCAUCACAACGCACGUGACUCUUUAAGGGGCGACCUAGAUGGUUACUGCAGCACGGAUAACACAGAGAUGGAUUCCAUAACACAGCAAGCACAAUGUUCUGUGAUGAACUCUGUGUCACAUCUGGAGAGGGGAAGAAUCAUCUUCAUACAAAUGUUCCCCUCUGUAAAAUUGAAAUGGUUACACUGAA